CACGUAGGGCGCAAGCGUUGUCCGGAAUUAUUGGGCGUAAAGAGCUCGUAGGCGGUCCAUCACGUCCGCUGUGAAAACCCAGGGCUCAACCCUGGGCUUGCAGUGGAUACGGGUGAACUAGAGGUAGGUAGGGGAGAAUGGAAUUCCCGGUGUAGCGGUGAAAUGCGCAGAUAUCGGGAGGAACACCGGUGGCGAAGGCGGUUCUCUGGGCCUUACCUGACGCUGAGGAGCGAAAGCGUGGGGAGCGAACAGG
rnacentral:rRNA from 1 species